rnacentral:rRNA from 1 species
UUCGCCCUUAGAGUUUGAUCCUGGCUCAGGACGAACGCUGGCGGCGCGCCUAACACAUGCAAGUCGAACGAGCGAGAGAGAGCUUGCUUUCUCAAGCGAGUGGCGAACGGGUGAGUAACGCGUGAGGAACCUGCCUCAAAGAGGGGGACAACAGUUGGAAACGACUGCUAAUACCGCAUAAGCCCACGACCCGGCAUCGGGUAGAGGGAAAAGGAGCAAUCCGCUUUGAGAUGGCCUCGCGUCCGAUUAGCUAGUUGGUGAGGUAAUGGCCCACCAAGGCGACGAUCGGUAGCCGGACUGAGAGGUUGAACGGCCACAUUGGGACUGAGACACGGCCCAGACUCCUACGGGAGGCAGCAGUGGGGAAUAUUGCACAAUGGGGGAAACCCUGAUGCAGCGACGCCGCGUGGAGGAAGAAGGUCUUCGGAUUGUAAACUCCUGUUGUUGAGGAAGAUAAUGACGGUACUCAACAAGGAAGUGACGGCUAACUACGUGCCAGCAGCCGCGGUAAAACGUAGGUCACAAGCGUUGUCCGGAAUUACUGGGUGUAAAGGGAGCGCAGGCGGGAAGACAAGUUGGAAGUGAAAUCCAUGGGCUCAACCCAUGAACUGCUUUCAAAACUGUUUUUCUUGAGUAGUGCAGAGGGAGGCGGAAUUCCCGGUGUAGCGGUGGAAUGCGUAGAUAUCGGGAGGAACACCACUGGCGAAGGGGGGCAACUGGGCCACCAACUGACGCUGAGGCUCAAAAGUGUGGGAAGCAAACAGGAUUAGAUACCCUGGGUAGUCCACACUGAAACGAAUGAUUGCUAGGGUGUUGGAGGAUUGACCCCUUCAGUGCCGCCAGUUAACACAAUAUGUAAUCCACGUGGGGAAGUACGACCGCAAGGUUGAAACUCAAAGGAAUUGACGGGGGCCCGCACAAGCAGUGGAGUAUGGGGUUUAAUUCGACGCAACGCGAAGAACCUUACCAAGUCUUGACAUCCUGCGACGGACAUAGAAAUAUGUUUUUCCUUCGGGACGCAGAGACAGGUGGUGCAUGGUUGUCGUCAGCUCGUGUCGUGAGAUGUUGGGUUAAGUCCCGCAACGAGCGCGACCCUUAUGGUCAGUUACUACGCAAGAGGACUCUGGCCAGACUGCCGUUGACGAAACGGAGGAAGGUGGGGAUGACGUCAAAUCAUCAUGCCCUUUAUGACUUGGGCUACACACGUACUACAAUGGCGUUAAACAAAGAGAAGCAAGACCGCGAGGUGGAGCGAAACUCAGAAACAACGUCCCAGUUCGGACUGCAGGCUGCAACUCGCCUGCACGAAGUCGGAAUUGCUAGUAAUCGCAGAUCAGCAUGCUGCGGUGAAUACGUUCCCGGGCCUUGCACACACCGCCCGUCA